rnacentral:rRNA from 1 species
AGUGAACGCUGGCGGUAUGCCUAACACAUGCAAGUCGAACGGCAGCACAGUAAGAGCUUGCUCUUACGGGUGGCGAGUGGCGGACGGGUGAGGAAUACAUCGGAAUCUACUUUUUCGUGGGGGAUAACGUAGGGAAACUUACGCUAAUACCGCAUACGACCUACGGGUGAAAGCAGGGGAUCUUCGUACCUUGCGCGAUUGAAUGAGCCGAUGUCGGAUUAGCUAGUUGGCGGGGUAAAGGCCCACCAAGGCGACGAUCCGUAGCUGGUCUGAGAGGAUGAUCAGCCACACUGGAACUGAGACACGGUCCAGACUCCUACGGGAGGCAGCAGUGGGGAAUAUUGGACAAUGGGCGCAAGCCUGAUCCAGCCAUACCGCGUGGGUGAAGAAGGCCUUCGGGUUGUAAAGCCCUUUUGUUGGGAAAGAAAAGCAGCAGGUUAAUACCCCGCUGUUCUGACGGUACCCAAAGAAUAAGCACCGGCUAACUUCGUG